CCCUUAGAUGCUCUGGGCCGCACGCGCGCUACACUGAUCAGUGCAACAAGCAUCCGUCCUUGGCCGACAGGCCCGGGCAAUCUUUGAACGCUGAUCGUGAUGGGGAUAGACUUUUGCAAUUUUUGGUCUUCAACGAGGAAUUCCUAGUAAACGCAAGUCAUCAACUUGCAUUGAUUACGUCCCUGCCCUUUGUACACACCGCCCGUCGCACCUACCGAUUGAAUGGUCCGGUGAAGCCUCCGGAUUGGCGUGCACCCUCGGGUGCUGCCGAGAAGUUGGCUAAACCUUACCAUUUAGAGGAAGGUGAAGUCGUAACA
rnacentral:rRNA from 1 species